ACUAGUGACGAUAGCGAAGAGGUCCACGCUCCAGUUCCCAUGCCGAACACGAUCGUUAAGCUUUUCAGCGCCGAUGGUAGUUGGGGGUUUUCCCCCUGCAAAGUAGGACGUUGCUAAAC
rnacentral:rRNA from 1 species